AGUCAUAUGCUUGUUUCAAAGAUUAAGCCAUGCAAGUCUAAGUAUAAGCUAUUUAUACGGCAAAACUGCGAAUAGCUCAUUACAACAGUUAUAAUCUACACGACGAUCAUUACCAUAUGGAUAUCCAUGGUAAUUCUGGAGCUAAUACAUGCUAAAACACCCGACUUUUCGGAAGGGUGGCAUUCAUUAGUGACUCAGAACCAAUCACUUCGGUGUUUCUGGUGAUCAUAAUGACGGAGCGGAUCGCAUUUAUGCGACAGUUCGUUCGAGUUUCUGACCUAUCAGCUCCCGUCGGUAGGGUAUUGGCCUACCGAGGCUGUGACGGGUAACGGGGAAUUAGGGUUCGAUUCCGGAGAGGGAGCCUGAGAAACGGCUACCACAUCUAAGGAUGGCAGCAGGCGCGCAAAUUACCCAAUCCCGAUACGGGGAGGUAGUGACCAGAAAUAGCAACUCAGGACGAUUAGUUCUGUGAUUGCAAUGAGCGGAAAGCAAAACUGUUUGUGAGUACCUAUU
rnacentral:rRNA from 1 species